rnacentral:rRNA from 1 species
AGAGUUUGAUCCUGGCUCAGGACGAACGCUGGCGGCGUGCUUAACACAUGCAAGUCGAGCGGUAAGGCCCUUCGGGGUACACGAGCGGCGAACGGGUGAGUAACACGUGGGUAACCUGCCCUGUACUCUGGGAUAAGCCUUGGAAACGAGGUCUAAUACCGGAUACGACCAUUGAUCGCAUGAUCGGUGGUGGAAAGUUCCGGCGGUAUGGGAUGGACCCGCGGCCUAUCAGCUUGUUGGUGGGGUAAUGGCCUACCAAGGCGACGACGGGUAGCCGGCCUGAGAGGGUGACCGGCCACACUGGGACUGAGACACGGCCCAGACUCCUACGGGAGGCAGCAGUGGGGAAUAUUGCACAAUGGGCGAAAGCCUGAUGCAGCGACGCCGCGUGAGGGAUGACGGCCUUCGGGUUGUAAACCUCUUUCAGCAGGGACGAAGCGCAAGUGACGGUACCUGCAGAAGAAGCACCGGCUAACUACGUGCCAGCCGCCGCGGUAAUU